rnacentral:lncRNA from 1 species
GACGGCGAUCAAGAAAUGGGUCACGGACUACUGCGCGAUAUACUACGCCGACGGGGACCGCGCCGUCGCGGCCGACAGCGAGCUGCAGGCGUGGUGGAGCGAGGUGCGAAACGUGGGCCACGGCGACCUGAGCGACGCGCCGUGGUGGCCGGCCAUGGACUGCGUCGACGACCUCGUGGAGACCUGCGCCACCAUCAUCUGGCUCGGUUCGGCUUACCACUCGGCCGUCAGCUUCGGGCAGUACGCGUACAAUGGCUUCGUCCCCAACCGCCCCACCAUCACCUCCGGGGAGAUGCCGGCCGACUCCGGGGCGGUGGUGACCGAGGCCGAAUUCCUCGGCAGCAUCACCCCGAGGACCGAGACGUUCGCCCUCAUGGCGCUCACCAUGAACCCACCCGUGAAGCCCGGAGAGCCGCUCAUGGGGGAGCGGCCCGACACGGAGCGGUGGACGAGCGAGCAGCGGGCGGCCAAGGCGCUGCUCGAGUUCAACGCGAAGC